AUGCAGGAAAAUGGUGUGAAUUGUGGUGUUGUAGAGUGGGUUGAUGGGCCUUGGCCACCUGUUCUUCAGAGAUGUUUGUGCAAGCUAUGGGAGAUGUUCCAUGAGCAGAACUUUGGAAGGGUACAGGACAAGGAGAAGUUUGAGCAGGAGUUGGCCAGGCUUAAGACUGAAAAUGACAAGCUUUGCAUUGAGUACACCAAGCUUGUUGAUGAUGUAUCCAAGAUGUUUGAUUGGCAGGAUGGUAGGGUGGACAAGAAACAAGUGGAGGAGGAAGAACUUGAGAAGAAGAAGAAGGAGCUAGAGGAGAAAGCCAUGUUGGAGGUGCAGAUGGAAAAGCUCAAACUUGCAAAAGAGCAGAGGUGCAUUUUGCAGAGCCAAGCUGAUAUCAUCAAGAACACUAGGAAGGCUAUGAAGGAUGUUGAAGUUGACAGAGAUGUUCUUAAGAAGGAGAAGGCAAUGCUUGAGCUUCUUGUUGCUGAGAUGCUGAAUGAAGGGUAUGGCAGCAAGGAGAAGUUAGAGCAAAUCAAGGCCAUCCUUGAGACUUGA
rnacentral:rRNA from 1 species